rnacentral:rRNA from 1 species
AGAGUUUGAUUCUGGCUCAGAACGAACGCUGGCAGCGUGGAUUAGGCAUGCAAGUCGAGCGCGAUCUGGAAUGUAGCAAUACAAUUCAGUGAGAGCGGCGAAAGGGCGAGCAACGCGUAGGUAAUCUGCCUCAGAGUUGGGGAUAACUCCCCGAAAGGGGAGCUAAUACCGAAUGGGGUCUCCUGACGCAUGUCAGGAAGAUUAAAGGUGGGGAUCCUUAGGGACCUGCCGCUCCGAGAGGAACCUGCGUACCAUCAGCUUGUUGGUGAGGUAACGGCUCACCAAGGCAUACGGUUAGGUGGUCUGAGAGGAUGGUCACCCGCACUGGGACUGAGACACUGCCCAGACUCCUACGGGAGGCUGCAGUCGAGGAUCUUUUGCAAUGCGCGAAAGCGUGACAAAGCGACGCUGCGUGGAGGAUGAAGGCCCUCGGGUCGUAAACUCCUGUCAUUCGGGAAAAAUGACGCGCAAACUAAUAAAUUGCGUGAGUGAUUGUACCGAAAGAGGAAGCCACGGCUAACUCUGUGCCAGCAGCCGCGGUAAUACAGAGGUGGCGAGCGUUGUUCGGAUUUACUGGGCGUAAAGGGUGCGUAGGUGGCUUUGUGUGUCGGGUGUAAAAUCCCACCGCUCAACGGUGGAACGCCACUCGAAACUGCAGAGCUAGAGUGCAGGAGGGGAGAGCGGAAUUCUUGGUGUAGCGGUGAAAUGCGUUGAUAUCAAGAAGAACACCGGUGGCGAAGGCGGCUCUCUGGAAUGCAACUGACACUGAGGCACGAAAGCUGGGGGAGCAAACAGGAUUAGAUACCCUGGUAGUCCCAGCCGUAAACGGUGUGCACUUGGUGUGGGGAGUAUUGACCCUCCCCGUGCCGGAGCUGACGCGUUAAGUGCACCGCCUGGGGAGUACGGCCGCAAGGCUAAAACUCAAAGAAAUUGACGGGGGCCCGCACAAGCGGAGGAGCAUGUGGCUUAAUUCGAUGCCACGCGAAGAACCUUACCAGGGCUUGACAUGUAGCUGCAGAUUCGCUGAAAGGUGAGUCGCCUUCGAGGGUGCUACACAGGUGCUGCAUGGCUGUCGUCAGUUCGUGCCGUGAGGUGUUGGGUUAAGUCCCGCAACGAACGCAACCCCUGUGUUUAGUUGCCACCAUGAGCCAUAAACUCAUGAGCACUCUAAACAGACUGCCCGUACAAGCGGGAGGAAGGUGGGGAUGACGUCAAGUCAGUAUGGCCCUUACGCCCUGGGCUGCACACGUGCUACAAUGGCCGGUACAGAGGGAUGCGAUACUGCGAGGUGGAGCAAAUCCCCAAAAACCGGCCUCA